rnacentral:rRNA from 1 species
AUUGAACGCUGGCGGCAUGCCUUACACAUGCAAGUCGAACGGCAGCACGGGAGCAAUCCUGGUGGCGAGUGGCGAACGGGUGAGUAAUAUAUCGGAACGUGCCCAGUCGUGGGGAUAACGUAGCGAAAGUUACGCUAAUACCGCAUACGAUCUACGGAUGAAAGCGGGGGACUCGCAAGAGCCUCGCGCGAUUGGAGCGGCCGAUAUCAGAUUAGGUAGUUGGUGGGGUAAAGGGCUCACCAAGCCAACGAUCUGUAGCUGGUCUGAGAGGACGACCAGCCACACUGGGACUGAGACACGGCCAGACUCCUACGGGAGGCAGCAGUGGGGAAUUUUGGAC